ensembl:lncRNA
GGGAGACAGGUAGACAGAGAAGCUGCUCUAGAGAAACAGGGAGACAGGGAGACAGGUAGACAGAGAAGCUGCUCUAGAGAAACAGGGAGACAGGUAGACGGAGAAGCUGCUAUAGAGAAACAGGGAGACAAGGAUACAGGUAGACAGGUAGACAGAGAAGCUGCUCUAGAGAAACAGGGAGACAGGUAGACAGAGAAGCUGCUCUAGAGAAACAGGGAGACAGGGAGACAGGUAGACAGAGAUGCUGCUCUAGAGAAACAGGGAGACAGGUAGACAGAGAAGCUGCUCUAGGGAGACAGGGAGACAGGGAGACAGAGAUGCUGCUCUAGAGAAACAGGGAGACAGGUAGACGGAGAAGCUGCUCUAGAGAAACAGGGAGACAGAGAAGCUGCUCUAGAGAAACAGGGAG